rnacentral:rRNA from 1 species
CAGUCGCCGCGGUAGUACGUAGGUCCCGAGCGUUGUCCGGAUUUAUUGGGCGUAAAGCGAGCGCAGGCGGUUAGAUAAGUCUGAAGUUAAAGGCUGUGGCUUAACCAUAGUACGCUUUGGAAACUGUUUAACUUGAGUGCAAGAGGGGAGAGUGGAAUUCCAUGUGUAGCGGUGAAAUGCGUAGAUAUAUGGAGGAACACCGGUGGCGAAAGCGGCUCUCUGGCUUGUAACUGACGCUGAGGCUCGAAAGCGUGGGGAGCAAACAGGAUUAGAGACCCCGGUAGUCCCUGUCUCUUAUACC